UACGGGGGGGGCAAGCGUUGUUCGGAAUUACUGGGCGUAAAGGGCGCGUAGGCGGCCUGCUAAGUCGGACGUGAAAUCCCUCGGCUCAACCGGGGAACUGCGUCCGAUACUGGCGAGGCUUGAAUCCGGGAGAGGGAUGUGGAAUUCCAGGUGUAGCGGUGAAAUGCGUAGAUAUUGGGAGGAACACCAGUGGCGAAGGCGGCUCACUGGACCGGUACUGACGCUGAGGCGCGAAAGCGUGGGGAGCAAACGGG
rnacentral:rRNA from 1 species